GACGAACGCUGGCGGCGUGCUUAACACAUGCAAGUCGAACGGAAACGCCCUGCUUUUUUGCUGUUCUCGAGUGGCGAACGGGUAAGUAACACGUGAGUAACCUGCCCUUGACUUUGGGAUAACUUCAGGAAACUGGGGCUAAUCCCGUAUAGCAGCUCCUGCUGCAUGGUGGGGGUUGGAAAGUCUCGGCUGGUGGGGAUGGACUCGCGGCUUAUCGGCUUGUUGGUUGGGUAGUGGCUUACCAAGGCUUUGACGGGUAGCCGGCCUGAGAGGGUGACCGGCCACAUUGGGACUGAGAGACGGCGCAGACUCCUACGGGAGGCAGCAGUGGGGAAUAUUGUCCAAUGGGAGGAAGCCGGAUGCAGCAGCGCCGCGUGCGGGAUGACGUCCUUCGGGUAGUAAAACGCUUUCGCCUGUGACGAAGCGUGAGUGACGGUAAUGGGUAAAGAAGCACCGGCUAACUACGUG
rnacentral:rRNA from 1 species